rnacentral:rRNA from 1 species
AACAGGAUUAGAUACCCUGGUAGUCCACGCCGUAAACGAUGUCGACUUGGAGGUUGUUCCCUUGAGGAGUGGCUUCCGGAGCUAACGCGUUAAGUCGACCGCCUGGGGAGUACGGCCGCAAGGUUAAAACUCAAAUGAAUUGACGGGGGCCCGCACAAGCGGUGGAGCAUGUGGUUUAAUUCGAUGCAACGCGAAGAACCUUACCUACUCUUGACAUCCAGAGAACUUAGCAGAGAUGCUUUGGUGCCUUCGGGAACUCUGAGACAGGUGCUGCAUGGCUGUCGUCAGCUCGUGUUGUGAAAUGUUGGGUUAAGUCCCGCAACGAGCGCAACCCUUAUCCUUUGUUGCCAGCGGCUCGGCCGGGAACUCAAAGGAGACUGCCAGUGAUAAACUGGAGGAAGGUGGGGAUGACGUCAAGUCAUCAUGGCCCUUACGAGUAGGGCUACACACGUGCUACAAUGGCGCAUACAAAGAGAAGCGACCUCGCGAGAGCAAGCGGACCUCAUAAAGUGCGUCGUAGUCCGGAUCGGAGUCUGCAACUCGACUCCGUGAAGUCGGAAUCGCUAGUAAUCGUAGAUCAGAAUGCUACGGUGAAUACGUUCCCGGGCCUUGUACACACCGCCCGUCACACCAUGGGAGUGGGUUGCAAAAGAAGUAGGUAGCUUAACCUUCGGGAGGGCGCUUACCACUUUGUGAUUCAUGACUGGGGUGAAGUCGUAACAAGGUAACC